rnacentral:rRNA from 1 species
AUGCAAGUCGAACGUCCCAGCCGAAAGGCUGGGUAGUGGCGGACGGCUGAGUAACACGUGGGAACCUGCCCCUAGGUAAAAAAUAACUCACCGAAAGGUGAGGUAAUAUUUUAUAGUCCAGGUGCCUUCAGGUAUCUGGUAAAGAGCUUAACGGCUCGCCAAGGGAUGGGCCUACGGCUUAUCAGGUAGUUGGUAGGAUAACGGCCUACCAAGCCUAUGACGAGUAGCUGGUCUGAGAGGAUGGUCAGCCAGAGGGGUACUGAGACACGGACCCCACUUCUACGGAAGGCAGCAAUCAGGAAUAGUCGGCAAUGGGCGAAAGCCUGACCGCGCGACGCCGCGUGCGGGAAGAAGCUCUAAUCGAGCGUAAACCGCUGUGGUAAGGGAAGAAGAUCUCCAUUUUGGAGGUUUGACGGUACCUUACUAGAAAGGGGCCGCUAACUGCGUGCCAGAAGCGUCGGUAAUACGUGGGCCUCAAGCAUUAUCCGGUGUCACUGGGCUUAAAGGGUCGUGUAGGUGUCUUAAUAAGUUUUCGCUUAAAUAUCUAAGCUCAACUUGGAGAAAGGCGAGAAUACUGUUAAGAUUGAGUUUUCUUAAGGGAGACUGGAACUUAGGGAGGAGUAGUGAAAUGCGUUGAUACUCUAGGGAACACCAGUAGCGAAGGCGAGUCUCUAAAAGAAAACUGACACUGAGACACGAAAGCUAAGGGAGCGAAGCAGAUUAGAGACCUGCGUAGUCUUAGCCUUAAACGAAUGUCUGCUAGCUGUAUUUUUCUCUUUUUUUUUAAAGAGGAGGGUAUGGCGUAGGGAAUCCGUUAAGCAGACCGCCUGGGGAGUACGGCCGCAAGGUUGAAACUCAAAGGAAUUGGCGGGGAGGCACACAACCAGUGGAACAUGUGGUUCAAUUCGAAACGAACCGAAGAACCUCACCAGGGUUUGACAUCUCAGCGUUCUAUUCCACAGAAAUGUGGAAAAUCCGCAAGGAGGCUGGGACAGGUGCUGCAUGGCUGUCGUCAGCUCGUUCCGUGAGGAGUGCCCUUAAGUGGGACAACGAGCGCAACCCCUGUCCUGUGUUAAAUUUGUCACAGGAGACUGCUCUCCUAUUUGGAGAGAGGAAGGAGGGGCAGACGUCAAGUCAGCAUGGUCCUUAUACCCUGGGCUACACACAUGUUACAAUGGGUAAAAACAACGAGUUUUGCUAGCGCGCAAGCGUCAGCAAAUCUCUGAAAUUUACUCUCAGUGGGGAUUGAGGUCUGCAACUCGACCUCAUGAACUCGGAAUUGGUAGUAAUCGCGGAUCAGUCAUGCCGCGGUGAAUACGUUCUUGCCUCUUGCACACACCGCCCGUCAAGCCAACAAAGUCGGGAAGAUCUGAAAUUCGAUAUAAGUCG